rnacentral:rRNA from 1 species
UACGAAGGGGGCGAGCGUUGUUCGGAAGUUACUGGGCGUAAAGGGCGCGCAGGCGGCUCUGAAAGUCAGAUGUGAAAGCCCCGGGCUUAACCUGGGAAUUGCAUUUGAUACUCUGGAGCUUGAGUACGGGAGAGGAGAGUGGAAUUCCCAGUGUAGAGGUGAAAUUCGUAGAUAUUGGGAGGAACACCAGUGGCGAAGGCGGCUCACUGGACCGGAACUGACGCUGAGGCGCGAAAGCGUGGGGAGCAAACGGG